UUUUUAUCCUUUUUAUGUGGGGAAAGACAAAUGUAUUAUUUUAUUGUUAUAAAGCUAUGACACUAUUGUGUGGGGCUGUGAAGAAUGGAAUUGAUUUUUCAUCAUUAUUUUGACUUUUUCAUAGACCUUUUAUAUAGUUUCUCGUCAAAUACCUUUCUCAAAAGAAUUUUUUAUUUACUUUCUCUUUGUUUAACCUUUUUAUUUUUAUUUUCUUUUGGGUUUGGAUUAAAAAUAAUAAUCCAUUUUCAAUCAUUCGGGGAGUUAGAUCAAGGAAGGUGCCUUUUG
rnacentral:lncRNA from 1 species